ACUUGGAAAAAACAUACAUCAUAUUGCAAUAUAAUUUACUUUGAGAUUUCAAUUUGGAAAAUGGCAUGGAAAUAAUCCAGCUUGAACAUCGUCCUCCUCACCUCCUGGACUAGGGCGAGGGCCCCUUAUAUUUCUUCAUGGCAAUUGUGUCACAGUUCAAACGCUCGUACCCUGACUCCAUCUGGGAUUUGGAAUGCACUCAGGGAAGUGGCUGUGCAUGGAGACUAGAAAUGGAAGAGGCUUCCAAGGUCAUGCCUUUCAGGCUCCCUUCAAAUUCUACAGCUACUGUGAAGAGAGUUGCAUUCCCACAGAGAACAUGUCAGACUGGAGGAAAAUUGUGACAAAAGGUCUCCCCAAAGGUCUCUGAAACUUCGAUCUUAUCUCAUUCCACAAGGCAAAGGCCAGUUUCCUAAAUCAAAGAAUGAAACAAAGUACAUCUUUUUCAAGCAUUGUUUUGACAUCACUCCCUUUUAUACAACUGGACAGGCACUCCCAUUCUCUUUAAAUAAUUUUUAAACACUCCUGAACUUUGGCUUGGAGAUCCUCAUUUGAAAUGAUUUUAUCACUCUAGACAUACUAGCUCAUAUUUUUUAACUUCAACCUGGCAAAAGUUAAUAUCCCUCAUAAAACUCUACCCACUCUCUUCUCUAAGUAUCACAUAAACCACUCUUCCUGAUUAUACAUGCCCCAUCUUGAGCCAUAUCCAUUACUCUGUCAACUUUCCCUGGAGGUUAAUCUGCUAGUGAGAAUUUAAGUGGACUCCUGGGGUGGAGUAUUCUACAAUGGAUGGAACUUGGAUUCUGAAGUCAGUCAGUUCUGGUUCAAAUCCCAGUUAUUCCAUUUACUAGCUGUGUCAUGUUGGGCAAGCUAUGUAACCUCCCUAAAUCGUUGUUUCCUCACCUAGAAUAUGAAUACAAUAUUAAUAGUACUGGUAUAACAGUUGUUCUGAGAAUUAAAUAAGAUAUUGCAUAUAAAGAACUUAGUUCAGAGUAAACACAUUAUAAAAUUCAACACAUGUUAGUCCCCAUGAUUACAAUUCUUUUGGAGCACAAAAUAAUCAGAGAUAUGUAAAAAAGAUGGUUGUGAAGAGAUGUUUAUGUACCAUUUUUAUAAGAGUAAAAAGUUGGAAACAAUUUAUGCCCAACCAUGGUUGACUAUGCAACCAAUUAUAAGUCAUGUUCUGAAUGUUGGGAAAUAUCAAGAUUGUAUUAGUGAGUAUUAAAAAAAAACAUAAAACCUGCAGAGCAUCAAAUCUGAGAGGGAAAGUAUAUGCAUAGAAAAGAGAUUUGAAGAACCUACAUCAAAAAGUAGAUUAUAAUUAUCUCAACAGAGAAAAGGUAUAUGGAGUAUAGAUGGGUACUGGGAUUAUGAAGAUUUUUAAAAUGUUUUGUAUUUUUCUGUGCAUCCUAAAUUUUGUACCUUUUGUAAUUAGGAAAAUUACAUGCUGUUGAAAAAUAAUGGAUGAAGUUUAGCCUUCUCAGAUGAUCUCCUUCUGGCUCCAAUUAAUUCAGACCUCCAGCUUAUCCACUUCCUUUAUUUCCUUUUUCACUCUCUACAGAUUUAUGUUUCCUCUGCACAGCUGCAGUUGGUUUCAAAUAUUUGGCAGAGACUGUAGUUGGUGUUUAGAUAUAUUUAUGUGGGUUCUCUCUCCCUCAUCAGACUGCAUUUCCACGAGAGUAUCUUCCCUAUAUUUUCUCUGUAAUUGUGCAUAGUGGCUUGGAAGCUCUUUGUCCCAAAAGUUAACUGAUUGAGGUCAUUGUAAACAAUGCAAGAAGAAAAACUUGCUUAACUUGUUUCAUUAUUAACAUUAACUGGGAGCUAAGGUUCGCAUGUUAGGAAUGGAGGGGUUUAUAGACUGGUUGGGAAUUAGGCCCUGUGCCCGAGGCAAUGCUUUGUGUUUAUGCAGCUAUUUCAUUUCCUCCUGGAACAUAGGAAUACCAAGGCCUCUUGCAUUGAGGAAGGGUUACAUGACUGGUUCUGACAAGCAAAAUGGAAGCAGAUGUGGUGUGCACCACUUCCAGACCCCAAAUCAUUUUACAUAUUCCUUUAUCAAUUCUUGCUUCCCCUGCUGUCUGCUGGCUGGAUAGUGCCAGGGUGAACUUGAAGCCACAGUAUGGUAGAGCCACAAGAUGGAAAGAACCUGGGUCCCUGAGCUUCUGCUUAGAGAGGAACCACUCAAGAGAAUUAUCUGAACAGAAACAUCUGAAAUGAACAGGGUCAGUGAGAAAGAUAAGACUCUUAUUACAUAAAAGCAUUGAGAUUUGAAGGCUAUUUAUUCUUGUAGUAACCCUAUCCCAACUAACAACAGAAAAUUAUACAAAUAGUAAAAGAAUUCAAGAUAACAUAUUUUAAGUGUCAAACCAAUGGAAUAUAAUUUUUGAAUUUGCCUAAUAUUUUACUGUUCUCCCAAAUCAUUUGCUUCCCUACCUUAUUCAAUUCUCUAAGAAACCUUGAUGAGUCUAUCUUUGUGUCACAAUUUAAGAAACUGGACUUAGAGUUGUUACAUUCUUUGACCUAAGCUAGAACCAAAAUUUUCUGACUCCAAAUACUGUACUCUUUGCCUUUAGGCAUAACUACUAUAAGAGUGACUAAUGACUAAAUUAUUUAUAGAAAAGAUGUUUUGCCUAAAUUGUCUAGGGAGUAAUUUUUUGAACACUGGUUCCACCAGCAGCUAAUAAAUGUCCCAAGAAAUAGAGUUCCAAGGCCAAAUGAGUUUGGGAAACACUGGGUUAAACAAAUGUGACCAGGAGUCUUCUACUUACUGCCAAGCUCUCAGAGCCUUUAACUUACAAUUUGGAGGCUCAUAGGGAGCCUAUGCAGCAUAUCCCAUACACCUGACCACAGAAUUCUUUGAUGAUAGAGCCAUCGUCAGGAGCAGAGUGUGCUGAAACAUGCCUGAGAAAGGUUUUCUAGAUAACAGCUCUCGUUCUCCACUGCACCCUGGUUCCACUUUAGUCUAUUCACUUCUUAGAGUACAUUUCUCAGCUAAUGUUGGGAACAACAAAAUUCUCUAGUAAGCUCAUGUAACCAAGAUCAAAUGGGACUUCCAGGAGAUUUUUUUUGUUUGUUUAGACGGAGUCUGAGCCCUGUCACCCAGGCUGGAGUGCAGUGGCACGAUCUUGGCUCACUGCAACCUCUGCCUCCCGGGUUCAAGCCAUUCUCCUGCCUCAGCCUCCCGAGUAGCUGGGAUUACAGACAUGUGCCACCAUACUCAGCUAAUUUUUUGUAUUUUUAGGAGAGAUGAGGUUUCACCAUGUUGGCCAGGAUAGUCUCGAUCUCUUGACUUCAUGAUCUGCCCACUUCGGCCUCCCAAAGUGCUAGGAUUACAGGCGUGAGCCACCACGCCUGGCCCCAGGAGAUUUUUUUUCAAUUGCAUUUAUUUUUGAACCUAUCCCAAGUAAGAGCAGGACACAUUCAUUGCACCUGGAAGGUAGAAAAUAUAAAUAGAAGAAAGAGAGGUGCAAAUCAACCCACUUCUAUUCAACCCACCAGCAUAGUCAACCUGUGACAUUUACUACCAUGGGGAGCUGCUGAGGCAGGGUAGAGUUGGAUUUGAGGAAGGAUUAGAUAAUUUUAUGAGCAUGACUAACAUUUAAAGCUAUGUGAGCUAAAACAAAAAAGAUACGAGGAAAUGAAGUCUCAUGUUCCAGGAUGUAAAUUGAUCACAUGUGGAAGGAGGGGCAAAAGGAAUUCCCACCUCGCAAUCCAGCGUGGGAUAUUACAGAAUGAGCCAGUUGCAAUAGGCUUGACUUUCCCUCUUUAUUUUCCUUUUCCUUUUCUCUGGUACAUCUGAUUCUGGCUAAACAGUAGGUGGGGAUAUUAGCCCUGACAAAUAGCGAUUUGAUCCCACAGGGCAACUCCUAUUGAAAACCAAGAUAACACAAAUAUUUUCAAUUCUUCAAGUUGAACCUAGACUAAGUAUUUUGUUUUGCGGGUGAUCCCUCUGUUCUUUUAUUAAGAGAAGAUCAUUUUAUGAGAACUAAGAAUAUUUGCAUUCCUAGCAUUUAAAAUUCUCAACAAACACAUUGCUCAAGCAAAUAAAAAGAAUAGAACCAAGUAAGGUAAGAUCUUCUUAAUUAGUUGAGACUUUUGAGCAAGGAUGAAUCCAGUCUUGAAGUACUGGCAAUUUCAAAAUACUCAUUUUACCUUAAACGUACAAAUAAAAUGUGUUUCUGAGCUGCAGUAUUCUGAGCUUGGUGAUGAUUGAAGGCCCUGGAAGAGGGGAUGGCAGAUUUUAUUGGGCUGGAUGGGUUCUCACCCGCCAUCUCCCCAUGGGAAAUUUUGUAAAAAUAUUCAACUCUAAUGGUUCAGUGAAAAGCAUUUGGGCCUCAGGGAAUCAACGGGAGCUAAGUUUUAUAGAGUGAAUCCCAUCUGGGACUAGAAGAAUUAAGAAACAGAACUAUGGGAGACAGGCAACAAGAGGAAUAGCAAUAUCAGCCCCAUGGUACAAAAAGUUAGUCUUUCAUUGUAUAAGCAGUGCUAUGAUUUCCUGCAUUAAGAUUACAAAAGCAAUCAGAUCAGAGAUUGUGGACUUUUUUCAUUAUAGGAUUUGAGUUGACCCUUUCUUCAACUAUGAAUUCUUUGGUUGGGGAACAGCCCUGAUUUCCAAUAUGAACCCUAAAUAUCAUUUGCUUCAGGAAGGAUUUUUCCUGUUGGUUCUUAGCAAUGUUUCUGAACUUGUGGCAAUGGUUGUCUAUACAAAAUUGACUACUCCAUUCUCUUAUCCCUUCCUCCCUAGCAUAGACCACUUCUCAUUAUAAAACUUUUUUUUUUUUUUUUUUGAGAUGAACUCUUGCUCUGUUGCCCAGGCUGAAGUGCUGUGGCACAAUCUCGGCUCACUGCAACCACAGCCUCCCGGGUUCAAGUGAUUCUCCCACCUCAGUCUCUCAAGUAGCUAGGAUUACAGAUCGAGGAAAGGAGGUUUGCCUGAAAAGGAGCCAGAGUGGUUCCGCCCAGACUGACGUGCUUCUGGCAGCCGGUGUGUACUGCUUGGUGACUGCUCUUUCAUUUCAGGUGGUGAUUUACCAAAUGCCGCUUUUUUUCUGUAUGACACAGGCGUGGCCAAACAUAGUCACCACUCAGAAUGUUGGGGAAGUUUCUCGUCCCCAUCAAACAGAGGGAGCAACCCUUGGUGGUUCAACAAUGAAGCCUCCAUUAGCUGAGAAGUCUAACUGUGAUUUAUCAUUCCCUACCUAUAAAGAUUGUAAACAAAUCAGGAAGCUUUCUGAGUCUCUUAGUCCUCUACUUCCAGGUAGAAGUGGUAAGAAUGUCAACCUUCCCUCACAACAUUGUAAGAAGGAAUGAUUAUUUGAAUUGAUUAUAAAAAGAUGCUCUGCAUUAUUCAUCAUUAGGGAAUUGCAAAUUAAAACAACAAGGAGAUAACGGCUACAUACCUAUUAGGACGGCUAAUAUCCAAAACGCUGACAGUACCAAAUGGUAGAGCAACAGGAACCCUCCUUCAUUGCUGGUGAAAAUGUAAAAUGGUUCGACCACUGUGGAAAACAGUUUGGCAGUUUUUUACAAAUCUAAACACACUUUUAUCAUAUCAUUCUGCAAUCAUGCUCCUUGAUAUUCUCCCAAAUGAGUUGAAAACUUAGGUCCACCCAGAAACCUCUGCACAAAAGUUUAUAGCAGCUUUAUUCAUAAUUGCCAAAACUUAGAAGCCACCAAGGUGUCCGUCAAUAGGUGAAUGGAUAAAUAAACUGUAGUAUAUUCAUACAGUGGAAUAGUAUUGAGCACUUAAAAAAGAAAAAGAGCUAUUAAGCCACAAAAAAGAAACGGAGGAAGCAUAAAGGCAUAUUACUAAGUGCAAGAAGCCAAUCUGAAAAGGCUACAGACUGUAUGAUUCCAACUAUAAGACAUUCUGGGGAGGUAAAAUUAUGCAGACAGUAAAGGAUCAGUGUUUGCCAGGGUUUUGGGAAGAUGGAAGGAGGAAUUAAUAGAUGGAACACGGGAUUUUUAAGCCAAUGGAACUAUAUUGAAUGACACUGAAAGGGUAGCUACAUGGCAUGAUAGAUCUGUCAAAGCCCACAGACUGUACAACACAAACAGUGAACCAUAUGUAAACUGUGGGCUUUGGUCACAAAGAGCGAACUGUAAUGUAAACUGUGGACUUUGGUUGAACAUGAGGCAUCAAUAUUACUUCAUCAGUUGUAACAAAACAUACUGUGACAUGUUGGUGGUGGAAGGGGCUGGGUGUGUGUUGGGGGAUGGUUAUGUGGAAACUGUACUUUCUGCUCAAUUUUAUUGUGAGCCUAAAACUUGUAAAAAAUGAAACUUAUUAAUUAAAACUAAAUCGAUUUUAAAAUCUAGAUAAAAGUUAUUAUGAAGCAGAAAGUGAAUAUAAUCAUAUAAUUAUAUAAAUUAAUAAAAAUAAUUGUUGAAUGCAUGCUUUAGGAUUAAGUUCAGUUGUACACAACACAGAAAACAACAACAAGUGUGGUUUAGACAAGAUAGAAGAAUAUGUUUCUCAUGUAUGCAAAAUAAGCCUAGAAGUAGGCAGUCCGGAGUUGGAAUGGUGACUCCACAGAGACUUUGGGGACCAAGGCUUCUGGCUUUGCUGAGACUCCCAUCUCAGCAUCUUACUCCCAUCUCUUGGUCUGAUAUAAUUGCCAGAACUCCAGCCAUUACAUCUGCAUUCUAAACAGCAGAGAGCGAGGAAGGAGGAAAUACUGGCAUGCCUCCUCCCUUAAAUGCAGACUUACAGGAAGUUUCAUAUUAUAGUUCUGCUUUUAUCUUAUUGGUCAAGAACUUAGACAAAUUGGCACAUCUACCUGUGAAGGAGUCUCACAAUUUUUUACCUGUUGAAUGUACACAAAAUUUAAAAAAUCUGCAGAGAGGUCCAGCUAAAAAUCAGGGCUCUGUUUCUAAAUAAAAAGAAAGAAAGGGAUGUUGGAGUAGGCAGCUAGCCAUCUGAGACUUUGAGCAACUGUUGCUAAGUUAAAAAUACAGUGCUAGAGGCAGAGGAUGAAAAACACAUUAGAUCAAUAGGAGAAAUAAACAUGCAAGCACGCGGCUAUUAUAUAUGGUGGCAAUUUGUUAAUGGCACAAGGAUUUCAAAAGAGGAUGUGCGUAUGCCCAGUUGGGAUUGAUCAGAGAAGCCCUCCUAGAGGGAAGGAUAUUUUACAAAGACCUAGAAGGAUGGAGAGAAUUUGAAUGGUAGGAAGUGGUGGAAAAAAAGGCAAACUUGGCAUAGGAAAUGGCAUGAGAGAAAGCAAGUUGUUAUUUGAUAAAGAGGGAUAUGCCUGUUAUUGGUGCAUUUUAUAGUCUGCACAGAUACAGAAAGUGCCUAGGCAGGAAGAAGUUUAUGUCUGUAGUUUGGACAUCUACCCCAAUGACAUCAGUUUCUCUAUUCACAAUCUGUCCAUCAUUCCCAUGGGGUGGGAGGUGAGGAAGAAUUCCAUUCAACAACACACACUUAGAGUAUCUCAGGCAAAGAGACUUUUUUUCUUUUGUAUUUAUGAUAAAACACCCAAAUAUGUAUCCAAGUGGGAUUACCAGCCUGGGUUGGAUCCAAGAGACUUUGGUUACUAGAACUAUUUCUCAUCAUAAAUCCCCAAACAAGUUGAGUUUUUCACUUCCUCUCCUAAUCUGCCAUGGAGCACAGCCGAGUUGCUUGAAGUCAUCUACUUCUUGGCAGUGGCUACAAUUCCAAGAUGAUGGAACGAUUCUUUUCCAUAUACAUCAUUAUUAUUUCUAGUAUAAAUAUUUAUCAAGCACUCACUGUGCAAUAGAGAAGAGCUCCUGCUUGGUGGUCUUUCCAGCUGAACAAAACAAACAUGAGUAGAGGUUGAGGGAAGAGGUGGGAAGAGAACCUCAGCUGGUGGGAAACAAUAGGAAUUGCUUCCCCACCCCACCUCCUUUUAUUCAUGUUGGAUGUUGUUUGGACUUGACUGCCAUAUUUCAGAUACGUAAAAUGUGUUUUUAUUUGUUUAACAUAUGCUUUAUAGGGCUUACCAUGUGCUGUGCACUGUUCUAAGCUCUUUACAAAUAUUAACACAUUCAAUCCUCAUAGAAUCCUGUGAAAUAAGUCAUUUUAUUAUCCCUAUUUGCAGAUGAGGAAACUGAGGCACACAGUAAUUUGCCCAAGGUCGCUAACUGGGCACAGUGACUCUAGAGCAACACUGUUCAGUAGAACUUUCCCUGAUGUCAGAAGUGUUCCAUAUUUGCGCUGCCCAAUAGGGUAACCACUGGAUACGUGUAGCUGUUGAGCACUUGAAAUGUGGCUUGUAUGACUGAGGAAGUGAACUUCUGAAAGUUCAGAAGGCCACCCACCUCACCCUCCCAAAGUGCUGAGAUUACAGGCAUGAGCCACCACACCCAGGCCGCCUUUCUUUCCUUUCCUCUCCCUUCCUCCCUCCCUCCCUUUUUUCUUUCUUUCUUUCUUGCUUGCCUGCCUGCCUUCCUUCCUUCCUUCCUUCCUUUUCUUUCUCUCUCUUUCUUUCCAUCCCUCCCUCCUCUCUCUCUCUUUCUUUCUUUCCUUUUCUUUUCCUUUCUUUUCUUUUCUUUUUCCUUCCUUCCUUCCCUUUUCUCCUUCCUUCCUUCUCUUCUCUUCUCUUUUCUUUCUCUUUCUUUUUUUGAAGGAGCAAGAGCCAAGAAUAUAGAGAUUCUUUUGUAAAACAGUGAUCCUUCCUGGUGCAUUUGCUGUUUAAUUAUGAUAAACAACAUGAGAUAUAAGUUUAUAGAAAAAUAUGAGCAAGUCACUCAGGUGGUGCCAUUCUCUAUUCCCUGGCUAUUAAAUAGGACUACAAAAAAGCUCUAUCUCCAAUGCAAGUUUUCUCACAAUUGGUAGCAGAUGAGGAGGUCAAAGAGGAGAAAUCAACGGCUGGUUAGGUCAUGCACAUUUGGUAGCACAGACCAUUGUUAAAAGCAAAAAGCAACAUUAUAGUAUCUGGUGCCUGCUUGGGAAAAUGAAGAGCAGGACAAGGUCAUGUGUGUUAUCUUGCUGUCAUCAAGACUACUACUCCCUCUUUUCUCUCUUUCCCUCCCAUCUUAAUGCUUCUCUACUUUACUCAGCUUUCAUGGUUAAACUCAAAUUCCACUUCUUCCUUGAAAGCUGCCCUCCUGUCUCCAUGUGAAAGCAUCCUCCCUACAAUAUGACUGUAUGUUUCUUCUGGUACUCAAUGGGUUCUAUACUAUAUAAUAGCUAAGUAAGUACAAGUCCUAACUCUCCUACUUACUCUCAACUCUUAAAGGUCUGAUUUCUGUUUGUAUUAAUUUUCUGUAAAACUUCAUACAAACCUGGGCAACAUAGUGAAUGAGACCCUGUCUCUAUUAAAAAAAAAAAAAAUUAGCCAGGCGUGGUGGCACGCACCUGUGGUCCCAACUACUCAGGAGGCUGAGGCAAAAGGAUCGCUUGAGUCAAAGAGGUUAAGACAGCAGUGAGCCAUGUUCACACCACUGCACUUCACCCUCAGCGACUGAGUGAGAUGUGCUCACAUUCCAUAGAUUAUUUUAACUUUCAUCCCUGUUUCCCUAUUUCUAGCAUGCACUUCUAUGAUAGCAUUAACAGUAUUGUAUUGUAAAAUUUGAUGAUCGUAUCUCUCCCCAAGACUGUAAGCCCUUUUAGAGUAGCACCUACCUUAAAAUAGUUGCUCUAUAAAUGGCAAGCAACUAUUUUCUGAAUGAAUGGUCAUUCUCAGAAAUUUGUAGUAUAUGUAGUAUGUUUGUCUUUUGUCUAAAACAAAAUGGAUCCCUCCUCCAAUGAAACUCUUCUAUAUUAGUAUUAGAUUAAGCACUAGGUAAUAUCAAACUAACUUCAGCAUUUUAUAAUAGCCCUGCUGUAAGGAAAGACAAUGCAUAAUUGUCCUAGAGAAUGAGGCCAUUUUCAGCUAGCUGUGGUGGCUCACACCUGUAAUCCCAACACUUUGGGAGGCUGAGGCAGGCAGAUCACUUGGAUUGGGAAUUCAAGACCAGUCUGGUCAACAUGCCAAAAUUCUGUCUCUACUAAAAAUACAAAAAUUAGCCAGGCAUGGUGGUGUAUGCCUAUAAUUCCAGCUACUAGGGAGGGUGAGGCACGAGAAUCACUUGAACCCGGGGUGUGGAGGUUGCAGUUAGCAGAGAUCACACCACAGCACUCCAGCCUGGGUGACAGAGUGAGACUCUGUCUCAAAACAAACAAACAAGCAAACAAACAAACAAAAAGAGAGAGAAUGAGAACAUUUCUUGCUUAACCUUGUCCAAAGGACAUAGGUCAUCCAAAGAGGUUUGAAUUUUAGGGUACUGCACAGAACCCAGAAUAGAAAAGAAGUGUGAAAACUGGCAAGACAUUGCAAUUUUCUACAAGUAUGUAAAGCUCAAACUAAAAAAGAACAUUUUUGAGAAUUUUAAGAAGUAUAUGUGAAGGAUCCUCUGACAUUAGUUUUAGUGAAGGAAGGGGCAGAGAUAGACCAAGAUCACUUUAGCAACCUAUAAUUUGGUUUAAUUGAUCGAGCAGGGAGAAAAAAGAAAGGAGAAAAAGAAUAAGGAGAUCGUGAAAUUGAAAAAUGUAAAAUACUGUAACAGAAAUUACUGUAGCUUUGCUUUGAGUAGUACUGGAAAAGUUUGUUAUACUAGGAAAUAGUCAUAUAAAUGGAAAGAUGGUUUUUCAUGUCUUUUAUGACUUGUUGUAAAUGAUUAAUUAAAUACUCUGAGUGUUUCAUUAAAUAUAUGCAUUCCUUCCAAAUUAAAGUGUGCAGAGACUCGUUAUAAAUAAAUUCAUUGGGUGAAUGAAAGGAGCAUUUACUUCUAAAGGAAUAUUACUGGCAAAUUUCAUUCUUGACAUUGAUUAAAUAAACUAAAUUUAUUUUAAUGGCAAUAUGAGCAAAUUACAAGGCUAAUUAGUUUUCUACUUUAGUAUUUUUACAUUAUUUAAUGCAUUUAUAAGUGAUCCAACAAUUUUAAGAAUUUUACUACAUAAAAAGCAUUUUGUAAUAAAAUGUGAAAAUGAAAGAAUGAAUAAGACAUGGUUCUCGCUUCACUCAUUUUCUACUUUCACGCUUCAUGGAACAAUUUUAAGUGUCUACUAUGAGCAAACCCUUUUCCUGAAUGUUGCAGGCAAUAGAAAGGAAAAAUAAGACUUGUUUCUUCCCUCUAAAAGCUUGAAAUGUCAUGGCAAAAACAUAUGCACAAAAUAACUUUAAUGUAAGACAGACUUUGGUAAGUAAGUGCUAAAAUAAUAGAGGUACAAAGUGCUUGGGGAGUAUAAGAAAUGGAGGGAUUAAGACUGAUGGGGAGAGGAUCAAGAAAGGCUUCUCGGAGGAGGAAGGGUUUGAGCUUGGCCUUGAGAGAUGGCUGGAAAUUUAACAGGAGGCUCUGGGCGGGGGAGGAGAAGAGAAAGGGGUUGUAUGGUCUCUGGGUUGCAGGGUUGUUCUAUAGCGGGGUUUUGGUGUUUCUCUGGACAAUUUUCAACUGUCACAUGGAAGAGAUGUGUCACACAGAAAAUACACAGAGCAACUAGAAACUGGUCUGAAAAUACAGCCACGUGACUUCAGUGAAGAAACAUAUCAGGCCUGAAGUGUGGGCAACAACAGUGACAGGUAUAAUUAGACAUUGAGCAGAUCAGUGUUUUUUGAUUAAUAAGCUUGUUCUUCCUAUACAUUAACUCAUGGGCCUGAAAGGAACUUCAGGAAGUUACUUAGGUCACCCCUGACUAUGUUUUUUUUUUUAAUUAUUAUUAUUCUUCCCUUAGCCUCAGCCCUAUAAUAUGAGCUCUUCAAAUGCUCAGACCCUUGGGCUCUGCAUGAGGACCAAUACAACUAAUAAAAUAUAGUAGUGGCAGCAGUUGAAGCCGCCUUGUGAUACCACUAUUUUGUAGCCAUAUUAAUAAUAUUGUGUGAGAAUUGAGGCAAGGGUUUUGUGAGUCUUUCAGGGCUGCCCUUCUUUUAAUAAGCCCCUGACAAGUUACAGCUUCUGCUUGGGGUAAAAGCUGAUCACAGGACUUAUGCACAAUGGCUUCCACCGCCUUGCCUUAACAAUUUAUCCCUAUCUAGCUACCAAUUAGAAGCCUAAAGUUAUAGAAUGCUAGCGCUGGAGUAGUUAUUAGGAUUAAUCUAACCCAAGCCCUUUGUUUUUCAUUUUACAAUGGAGGAAAGAGAAUCUUAGGGGAAGUGAUAUGCCUAAAGUCACACAGUUAAUGAUUGGCUUACCUGAACUAGAACUAGAAUGUAAAUCUCUAAGUUUCCUAACUUUCAAAUCAGUUUCUCUCUCCUGCAGCACACUGCCUUUUUUAUUUGCAUCAACAGUGUAUGUGUGUAUGUGCAUUAAUAUUUCUAAGAGUUUGGCUUAAAGCAUUCAGUAGGUGCCCAUAGAAUAAUGUAUGUUAAGCCAGAGAAGUAAAAUGCAUUGGAUCAAAACAUUCUCACUUGGAAAAAACAUUAGAAUCCUGGGAAUUUCUUGAAAUGCAAGAAAGCUCAGCCUCCAGGACUUGCAGUGUAAACACUGUGGCUAAUUUGUUGAAGUGAGAUGCCAUUGAUGAUUCUCCCUGCCUUGAGAGAUGACAGGGCUCCUUCGCAGAAAAAGCUGAUUGCUGUAGCAGAUUGCUAGGGGAAGGCACAUUGCAAAAAGUGAUCAGGAAAAGACAAGACAUGUUACCAAGACAGAUCAUUUUUCUUGAAGAGGAGUUAAAAAAAGACACUAAAAAGGAAUUCCUCCCAUAAAGUUUGUCUUUCAGAGAGCAACCAUUUCUACAACUCCGUUCCUGCCUAAAGAAGCAGGCUGUAACCUGGAGCAAAGCUUGGAGAGGCUAGUACAUCAGUUUUACAGAAGCAGUUCUAAGAAUAGUGAAUAUGGAUAAUACAGACAGCAACCCAGACACUUGAUCCAUGCGUUUGCUACGUAAAAGUUGGAUGAGAAUAACUUUCAACAAAUUUACUUUCCAGUGACUUGUUAUUUUUUAAAUUGUAUUCUUAUUAAUAAAAAUGAUACUUUGAUACUGGGUAUGUAACCAAAGGAAAAUAAAUCAUUCUACCAAGAAGACACAUACCCUUGUAUGUUUAUCACUGCACUAUCCACAAUAACAAAGACAUUGGAAUCAACCCAGGUGCCCAUCACCGGUAGAUUGGAUUAAGAAAAUGUGGCACAUAUACACCAUGAAAUGCUACAAAGCCAUACAAAAAGAAUGAAAUCAUGUCCUUUUCAGCAACGUGGAUGCAGUUGGAGACCAUAGUACUAAGUGAAUUCACGAAGGAAUAGAAAGCCAAAUACCACAUGUUCUCACUUACAUUAGGAGCUAAACAUUGAGAACAUAUGGACAUAAAAUGGGAGCGAUAGACACUAGGGACUACUGGGAGGGGGGCAUGGGUUGAAAAACUACCUAUCAGGCACUAUGUUCACUACCUUGGUGAUGGGGGCUGUACUCCAAACCUCAGCAUGGUGCAAUAUUCACAUGUAACAAACCUGCAUGUGUACCCCCUGUAUCUAAAAUAUAAACUGAAAUUAGAAAAAAAACAGAAGCCAACACCAUGAGGUUUUCAGCUCCCCCAUAAUCUCCAUAACCCUCUUUAGUCCUAAAUAAA
rnacentral:lncRNA from 1 species